CGAGGGGCAGCGGGAUUGACUUUUGCUUCAAUUGCCGGCGACCGGCGCACGGGUGAGUAACACGUAUCCAACCUUCCGUUUACUCGGGGAUAGCCUUUCGAAAGAAAGAUUAAUACCCGAUAGUAUGGUGAGAUUGCAUGAUAACACCAUUAAAGAUUCAUCGGUAAACGAUGGGGAUGCGUUCCAUUAGGUAGUAGGCGGGGUAACGGCCCACCUAGCCUACGAUGGAUAGGGGUUCUGAGAGGAAGGUCCCCCACAUUGGAACUGAGACACGGUCCAAACUCCUACGGGAGGCAGCAGUGAGGAAUAUUGGUCAAUGGGCGAGAGCCUGAACCAGCCAAGUAGCGUGAAGGAUGAAGGUCCUACGGAUUGUAAACUUCUUUUAUAAGGGAAUAAAACGCUCCACGUGUGGAGCCUUGUAUGUACCUUAUG
rnacentral:rRNA from 1 species